rnacentral:rRNA from 1 species
UACGUAGGGUGCAAGCAUUGUCCGGAUUUAUUGGGCGUAAAGAGCUCGUAGGCGGCUUGUCACGUCGGGUGUGAAAACUCGGGGCUCAACCCCGAGCCUGCACUCGAUACGGGCUGCUAGAGUGUUGCAGGGGAGACUGGAAUUCCUGGUGUAGCGGUGAAAUGCGCAGAUAUCAGGAGGAACACCGGUGCCGAAGGCGGGUCUCUGGGCAACUACUGACGCUGAGGAGCGAAAGCGUGGGGAGCGAACAGG